GGAUGUGAGGGUGAUCUGGUCUGACAUCUGCUACUCCAUUGUUAAUUGGGCUGAUCUUACUGGGUGUCAGGUGGCCCCUUUCUUCCUCAAUGCUUCAUAUGUGUCCCUCCCAAAGCUGCAUGCUUGGUCAAGAGGACAAUGGACUGGUCUCUGGCAGAGGGUAUACCAGUAGCUGCACUCCUCUGCUAGAACCUCCCAACAAGUUCUCAAGUCAAAAAGAGAAGAAUGAAUCUGAGAUAACAUCGCUCAUAGAAAGACGUU
rnacentral:snRNA from 1 species